GACGUGGUUUGAGCCAGGUAGGGAGGAGAAGGGAGCGACUGACGUGGUUUGAGCCAGGUAGGGGAGGAGAAGGGAGCGACUGACGUGGUUUGAGCCAGGUAGGGGAGGAGAAGGGAGCGACUGACGUGGUUUGAGCCAGGUAGGGGAGGAGAAGGGAGCGACUGACGUGGUUUGAGCCAGGUAGGGGAGGAGAAGGGAGCGACUGACGUGGUUUGAGCCAGGUAGGGGAGGAGAAGGGAGCGACUGACGUGGUUUGAGCCAGGUAGGGGAGGAGAAGGGAGCGACUGACGUGGUUUGAGCCAGGUAGGGGAGGAGAAGGGAGCGACUGACGUGGUUUGAGCCAGGUAGGGGGAGGAGAAGGGAGCGACUGACGUGGUUUGAGCCAGGUAGGGGAGGAGAAGGGAGCGACUGACGUGGUUUGAGCCAGGUAGGGGAGGAGAAGGGAGCGACUGACGUGGUUUGAGCCAGGUAGGGGAGGAGAAGGGAGCGACUGACGUGGUUUGAGCCAGGUAGGGGAGGAGAAGGGAGCGACUGACGUGGUUUGGGCCAGGUAGGGGAGGAGAAGGGAGCGACUGAUGUGGUUUGAGCCAGGUGAAACAGUGCCCAAGCUCUCUGUCUGUUAACCUUCUGUUCUACUGUAGAUAGAACAUGUUAUGAAGGGUUCAGCAGAUAACAUCUGGUCAAAACCUGUUGUGUUUGUUGGUGUCCAUUACUGCUAAUGUUAUUUUUCACUUGUUACUGUUUUUAUUUCUUUACUUACCUAUUGUUCACCUAAUACCAGUUUCAUUUUUUGUUUGUUUACUUAAAUUGCACUGUUGGUUAGAGCCUGUAAGUAAAGCAUUUCA